AAAUUGAAGAGUUUGAUCAUGGCUCAGAUUGAACGCUGGCGGCAGGCCUAACACAUGCAAGUCGAACGGUAACAGGAAGAAGCUUGCUUCUUUGCUGACGAGUGGCGGACGGGUGAGUAAUGUCUGGGAAACUGCCUGAUGGAGGGGGAUAACUACUGGAAACGGUAGCUAAUACCGCAUAAUGUCGCAAGACCAAAGAGGGGGACCUUCGGGCCUCUUGCCAUCGGAUGUGCCCAGAUGGGAUUAGCUUGUUGGUGGGGUAACGGCUCACCAAGGCGACGAUCCCUAGCUGGUCUGAGAGGAUGACCAGCCACACUGGAACUGAGACACGGUCCAGACUCCUACGGGAGGCAGCAGUGGGGAAUAUUGCACAAUGGGCGCAAGCCUGAUGCAGCCAUGCCGCGUGUAUGAAGAAGGCCUUCGGGUUGUAAAGUACUUUCAGCGGGGAGGAAGGGAGUAAAGUUAAUACCUUUGCUCAUUGACGUUACCCGCAGAAGAAGCACCGGCUAACUCCGUGCCAGCAGCCGCGGUAAUACGGAGGGUGCAAGCGUUAAUCGGAAUUACUGGGCGUAAAGCGCACGCAGGCGGUUUGUUAAGUCAGAUGUGAAAUCCCCGGGCUCAACCUGGGAACUGCAUCUGAUACUGGCAAGCUUGAGUCUCGUAGAGGGGGGUAGAAUUCCAGGUGUAGCGGUGAAAUGCGUAGAGAUCUGGAGGAAUACCGGUGGCGAAGGCGGCCCCCUGGACGAAGACUGACGCUCAGGUGCGAAAGCGUGGGGAGCAAACAGGAUUAGAUACCCUGGUAGUCCACGCCGUAAACGAUGUCGACUUGGAGGUUGUGCCCUUGAGGCGUGGCUUCCGGAGCUAACGCGUUAAGUCGACCGCCUGGGGAGUACGGCCGCAAGGUUAAAACUCAAAUGAAUUGACGGGGGCCCGCACAAGCGGUGGAGCAUGUGGUUUAAUUCGAUGCAACGCGAAGAACCUUACCUGGUCUUGACAUCCACGGAAGUUUUCAGAGAUGAGAAUGUGCCUUCGGGAACCGUGAGACAGGUGCUGCAUGGCUGUCGUCAGCUCGUGUUGUGAAAUGUUGGGUUAAGUCCCGCAACGAGCGCAACCCUUAUCCUUUGUUGCCAGCGGUCCGGCCGGGAACUCAAAGGAGACUGCCAGUGAUAAACUGGAGGAAGGUGGGGAUGACGUCAAGUCAUCAUGGCCCUUACGACCAGGGCUACACACGUGCUACAAUGGCGCAUACAAAGAGAAGCGACCUCGCGAGAGCAAGCGGACCUCAUAAAGUGCGUCGUAGUCCGGAUUGGAGUCUGCAACUCGACUCCAUGAAGUCGGAAUCGCUAGUAAUCGUGGAUCAGAAUGCCACGGUGAAUACGUUCCCGGGCCUUGUACACACCGCCCGUCACACCAUGGGAGUGGGUUGCAAAAGAAGUAGGUAGCUUAACCUUCGGGAGGGCGCUUACCACUUUGUGAUUCAUGACUGGGGUGAAGUCGUAACAAGGUAACCGUAGGGGAACCUGCGGUUGGAUCAC
rnacentral:rRNA from 1 species